AGCCAGACCACAGGUAGCCCUACAUAGAAGUUGUACAGCCAGUAGGUCUGUAGAAUGGAUGGUUUUGCAGCACUGUAUUUAAAAGUCAUUCAAUCCUACUUCUCACAAUAUGGCUAUUGGAGGAACAAGUAUGCCCAUGAUGUGUCCUCUGCUAUUCACUAGCAAAUGUUUUAUCACUAGGGGUUACUGGCCUCUCAUUCUGCAAAGAGCAUAAGAGCGGAGUUAAGGCAAGAGGAACAUCACUGGGUCUCUGAUGAAAUCAGCCAUUGAAAAGGUGGAGUGAGCAGGAAGUUCCUUGAUCACAGCACACGUGGAUUUGAAACUUGUGAAGAAGAGGAUGGUGAUCUCAGGUGAAGUGUUUAUUCAAAGUUGAUGGCUUCCACACCAGGAAUCACCAUAAAAAUCAGGAGUCUCCAGCCUGGAAAUGGAUCUGUCCAAGAAGAACCAGCAGCAUCAAGCAGUGUGGGAAGGAAGGUGGGGAGUGACUGCUGGUUGUCUCAUGAAAGCCUUUUUUCCUAUGCAAUGGCACCAGGUCAGAGUUAAUCAAAGGAAAUGAUUCCUUGCAGAGAUGGGGAAAAACAAUCAAUCACACUAGUUUGAAAGCAACUAAGUAAAUUUACAAACAUCUACUCAGGCUUUUAAGUGCCAGAAUAACCCUUCUGGAUCAAGAAACUUUCAAAGGCUAGAAGAAUAUUCUGGGAAAAUAUGCCUAAUCUAUUCUCUACUCUUGUUCCUUGUGGCUGCUAUGACCAGAGACCAGAGACUUGCUACUGGCCCAAACUGACCCACAGCCUGACUCAGAAUGGCUACUCCGAUGUUCCUGUCACAGGUUUUCCUGACCAUUUCUUCUUGCACAGGUUGUACCAGGCUGCUCUUGGUACCUCACUUCUCCCUUCUUUUAUUGAGACAGCUCAUCUCAAUCAAACUACGUGCUCUUGUGCUUCCAAUGAUUAUCUCUUUCAGUAGUCGUUGUUUUCCAGUCUGGCUGGUGUUACACUUGCUGUGGUUCACAAAACUGCACCGGGACAAAGCCUUGGCUGGGGCAAAAACUGCCACAUACAGACUAUUUUCCAAGUUUCUCCAUACAGCUGAGAUGUGAUGUGAUGAGUUUCCCAAACACUCCACCAGUUUAAGUUAAUGGUUCUUGCAGAAACAUUUGUUGUACCACGCAAAAAGCCCAACCCCAAAGCAAACAUGUUCUGUUUGACUACCCAUUACAUAAGAAUGGGGUACAGUGCAAUGCUUUCUAUCCUCUUCCAGGUUUGCUCAGUUUGGGUCAGCAUACUUAGCAGACAGAAAUACACUGGCAGCUCCCCAGCUAUCUGUCUUGCAGAUUGAGAGUGCACAUAACAUUGGUUGUGGAACAAACCUUUGGAGACUGCAUCAUUUCUAGCACUACACAAAAUAGAAGUUCUUGUGGGAGAGAAGAAAGGAUGAUAAUGACAGCUCCCUUGCGCCUACACUUGGAAACUCUUCCACCCUUCCUCCUUGUGCUGCAGGUGAGUGACCCACACAAUGCUUCCUCUUCCUAUGCAAAGCCAGAGACAGGCAGAGGAUCAACCUGCCCAAGCAGAGCUCUGAUGAAUUUGCACAUCCUGAAGUGUCACUUUCUACAUUAGCACAAGCUUCAAGCCAGCAAACAACUUCACUAACAGCUCUGAAAGUGCAUCCUUUCCUUUUACCUGCGCAUAAAAAAUGCUCUUUCUGAAGCAACUAAAAUUGCCUGCUUAUUCUGCUAGGCAAGCAAUAUGACUGCAACUGUGAUUUCUCCUCCUGAAGAUGGGACAUUAGACCUUGCCCAUCUCUGGGCAGAAGGUGGACAUGAGAGUGAAUAGUAAAGCAGUCCUGUAUUUCUCAAGCUUUAUUCUUUAUUCUUCAGAGGUUUACUCUUUUGUCAGGUUCACUUUAUUAUUUCUUUCAUUUUCACUCAUCUCCAAAUGUCUCCAUCAAAUCUCUGCCAUUCAGGAAGACAAGAAUAGGCCCUUUCAAGCUGUGACACUGCUUAUCAGACAGCCCUGCUGCCUGAUGAAUGGAGGUCCAAGUUUCACACUGGCCAUGGAGUUCUCAUCAGAUGCUGACUGCGAUUUGCGAAAUUACACAUUAGCUGAUAUCUGAGACAUACAAUCACACUAUUAAUUAUACCUACCUAGAGGAUGCAGUUAAAAGAUUCAAGCCAAAAUGCCAAAUAUAGACCAUUGUCCUUGUUAGCAUGAGCAGUAACUCUGCCCUGCACCAGCCUUUGCAAUGUGCUUUAGCUGGGACUAGACUCCAAGUCCACUCACAGACACCAGCAGCCUAGCAACUCAUCUGUAAGGACAUAGCCCCUCUGUAUAGAACUCAGUGCUUGUGUCACACAGAUGGCAAACAGCAACUAUACUCUGCAGCAAGGUUACUUGUGAUCUGGACUGCAGCUGCCUCCCUGCUUGCCCUUUCCCCAAUGCCAGCAGCAGAACCAGUCCAUAAGCUGUGCAUAUCAGAGUGGGAGUUGUCUGUGGGUAGCCCUCAGCUCUCCCAGUUGGCUGGGCAGAGCUCCAAUAUGGGAUGACUGCCAAGCUUUUUGCUUGAGGACAGGCCUGGAGGGUUUUAGGUUAUGUGUGAGAUUUUUUUGGUCUGACUUUACCAGAGCAGGCCAUAUGACUCUAGGUUCCCUUUCUUAGUUUUGCAUAAGCAAUUCUGUAGGCUGCAAAUAUGUGCCUCCAGGCACUUUGGGAACAGCAUAACACCUCAGAUGAACAUUUUAUCUUGGAUAGCAGGGAGUCACUGCAAGAUGGAGAUGGUCCUUGCUAUGUAGCUAGAUAAGAAAGUUUUCAAGAGAGUCUCAUGUCAGUUCUAGAUUGUACCUGGCUAUGUUCCCAACUGAGUUUUCUGAAGCCUCUAAGGUAAGAUUUUUCUAUUUAACAUGUUUGAAAAAUUCAGAAUUUCCAUGUGAAUGAAGAACUUAAUUCUUUACGAGUUGUCCAAAGAAAGAGCAAAGUGCAUGUUUAGUUCCAGGGUUCAAGGGACAGGCGGUGUGUGAGAAAGGCCACAUCAUGACAUCCAAUGCACACGGGAUCUGGCACUACAAAACAGAAUGCACAGUCCCAUUUUUUUCUAUCAACACUGGAAAUUGAAAUACAACCUUUUUAUCCUGCAGGUCUUUCACAGAAAGCAUAUGAUUGGAAAAGAGGACUUGGCACAUUCAUCCAUCUAAAGAGCUUGUGCAUGGACAAGCAAACACUCAUCUCUUUCCCACCUCCAUUUAUUUUUGCUUUUAAUCUAAGAUUCAACUCUUCCCCCACAGCAAAGGAGCUCUUGGUAACAUCCUGUCUGGGAGCCCAGUAGCUCAAAACAUUAGCUUGCAUCAUUAUGCAAAUACAUGCCUGCUGUUCCCACACUCUGGGCAGGUAGCAAUCUCAGCUUCCCAGCCCAUCCCACAGCUGUUUCCAGCCACUGCCAUCAGUUAAAACUGGACUGCCACAAUCACAUUUGUCCCGACUUCAGUUCUAGCUUCUUUUUCUGUAGUUUCUGUGGCUAAGUAUUCUUGAGGAUCUCAUGCUCUCUGUUCCUGAGUCUCUCUACUCCAUCUUCCAAAUGCAAUAUAUGUAAUAUUGCAUUUAUAUUUGCAAUAUUAAUUGUUGAAAAUAUACAACAUCAGCUGCAAACAUUUAAAACAGCUGAUGAAUGCGAUGUUGUUGUCAUAAUGCUUUUAUCUCAAUGUCUACAUGGAAACCUAAUACAGUAACAUUCUGUUUACCUUUUCUGGAUAACUAUAGGCCAGCUCAGCAGUUUCAAAAGACUGAAAAAAAAUAAACAGAAAAUGAUGUUUUUUGAGGUUUUUUUCUUCGUUAUUUUUUUUUUCACUUAUUAUUUCACUUCUGAGCAAAGUCUAAGAAAACUUUAGAACUCCUGACAAAAAGCAAGCAGUCCUUUUGUCUUUGGUCAAGAAGCACCAGAGGCACACUGAAAUCCCUUGUCCACUCAGGUCAAAUAAACUACUCUGGCCCCAGUUCUUUAUGAAACAAGAUCCCAGCCUGAACACACUGAAGGCUGGGCUACACAGAGUUUUAGGCUGCCACCCCUAAUUGGUGGCUUGAUUGUCCUGGGCUGUUUUGCACACUGAGUGCCCAAAGAGUAGCAUGGUCCCAUACACCUGCAGGGGACAUAUCUAAUGGAGUUGAGAUGCCCCUUUUCUCUCUACCUUUCCUCCAAAGACCCCCUCACCUCCUCAGAUGGCAGAAUGGAGCAGGCAGCAAUCCCACUCCAGCUCCUUUUCCAGUGAGGGAUCCAGAAAACUCUCCUGCCUAUCACCAAACCUCUGCAUUGCUCCAUGCAGAGCAACCCUCAUGGAAAAAUGUGUACAGCCCAGUGGAUUUUCCAGUUUCAUUUUGCUCAUCUGUGAUGGCAAGAAUACUUAAAUGCCUAAACAGAGAAUACUUACGGUUGCCUGCCUGUUAACACAAUUUUUUAUGCCUGUCUCCAAAGAUGUAAACAUGGGAAUCAAACAUCUGCUGUGCUUUCGGCAGGAGAAGGGAUUACAAGGUGGUACAACAUUUUUUUUUUUACUGUCUUGUUUUUUUUCCCUUAAUUGCUAAGAGGUUUAGCACAGUAAUACAAUAUAAAAGAACUUACGUUUAAAUAGGCUUACCAUUAUUUUCACUAUAUAUUAAUAAUUUGUAUGACACAUCUUACUCUUUCAGAGUUGCCAGGGUAAAAAAUCCUGUCUAGCCCAGCAAGCUUCACCCUGCAUGGCUUCACACCAGGGAACAAGAAAGGAAUUCUCUUUGAGCCUCCAAAGGCUUCACCUAAAGCCACUUAAUGACCUUCCCUAGCCUGCCACUGGUCCCACCCAUCAGGGUUUAAGACAGAUGUUUUCUGCACUGCAGCUGUGAGGUGAGUUCAUGUGCUCAAGUCUGCAAAGGAGUGAGGCCACUGUGUCUGAAGUACAUCUGUUCCCAGUCAACUGUGUUCAGCUGUGGCUGAGGGCACGCAGAGCACUGUGGAGAAGGUGCCCAUUAGGGCUAAUGGUCUAAUAAAAAACAAAGGCGUGUAAGUGGAUUUGUUCAUUUCAGGCAGAAUUCUCCUUAGUAGUCACAUUUGUUUUUAAAGUGCCUUAAUUUUAAGACAGAUUUCUUGUGCGCUCUAAUUUAGACUGUAUUUAAGGGAAAUUAAGUAAACAAACUAGUUGCUUCUGUCUCCUCAGCAAUGUUUUAUAAUACUGUCAAAGCUAUCAAGCUUUCUUACAA